rnacentral:snRNA from 1 species
GGCAUCCCCUCAAUUGCAGAUAAAUCUUUCGCCUUUUACUAAAGAUUUCCGUGUGGGGGUGCAAUAAA